rnacentral:sRNA from 1 species
UGGCCUUGCUGCCACGAUCCA